UACAGAGGGUGCGAGCGUUGUCCGGAAUCACUGGGCGUAAAGGGCGCGUAGGUGGCGCGACAAGUCAGUGGUGAAAGUUCGACGCUCAACGUCGAAUCGGCCACUGAUACUGUUGGGCUUGAGCACUGUAGAGGCUAAUGGAAUUCCGGGUGUAGCGGUGGAAUGCGUAGAGAUCCGGAAGAACACCGGUGGCGAAGGCGGUUAGCUGGGCAGUUGCUGACACUGGAGGCACGAAAGCGUGGGGAGCAAACAGG
rnacentral:rRNA from 1 species